CCUACGGGUGGCAGCAGUGGGGAAUAUUGCACAAUGGGGGAAACCCUGAUGCAGCGACGCCGCGUGAGUGAAGAAGUAUUUCGGUAUGUAAAGCUCUAUCAGCAGGGAAGAAAAUGACGGUACCUGAUUAAGAUGCCCCGGCUAAUUACGAGCCAGCAGCCGCGGUAAUACGCAGGAGGCGAGCGUUAUCCGGAUUUACUGGGUGUAAAGGGAGCGUAGGCGGGUGCACAAGUCUGGAGUGAAAUGGCGGGGCUCAACCCCGGAACUGCUUUGGAAACCGUGCAGCUGGAGUGCAGGAGAGGUAGGUGGAAUGCGUGGUGUAGCGGUGAAAUGCAUAGAUAUUAGGAGGAACACCAGUGGCGAAGGCAGCUUACUGGACUAUAACUGACGUUGAGGCUCGAAAGCGUGGGGAGCAAACAGGAUUAGAUACCCGUGUAGUC
rnacentral:rRNA from 1 species